ACCGUCCGGGUGCCCGGGGCUGGGGGCACGGGGCUGCUGCUGAAAGGCGCCAGCGUGUCCCUCUGCCUCGAGGCUGCCAGUGGGGGCCGGGACAGGCAGGAGGGCACAGGGCAGAGGGUCAGGGCCCAAGAGGAGGCGGUGGGCCGGCCUGGGCUCCUCUCUGGACCUGCUCCCUCCUCCGCCUGGGGCCGUGCAGGGCAGAGAGGGGCCGGAGCCAUCCCUGCACCCCAUGCGCCCCCUCUGGCCUGGCGUCUCUGAUGUGGGAUGUGAGAUCCAGAAGUGGCCAGCUCCCGAGUGAAGCUGUCUCAAAAUGAACCCAUCAAGGCAACCUGGAGCUUGGUUUCUCUCUGUUCUGUGGCUGCUGUUUCCUGCAUGGAGCCGAGAACCGUGACUGGGGCCUUUCGGCUGGAGGCACCACAGAGAAAUGGCCAGCUCAUCUAGAGACAGAAGCAGACCAAGGGCUGGAAGCUGGGAGCUCUGGCACUAUGCGGGUCAGCAGGUGCCCACUGGGGCCAGUGUCCGGGGCCAGCGGGAGAGGCCGGUGCAGGUGCCAGGCCAGGAUGAGGACCACGUGCCUGACUUUCAGCGGCGAGCCGGGUGCCGGACUUCGCAGUGCUAAAGGCCAGCAGAAGGACAAACAGGGAUAGAACUUGGGACCUUGCACUUGAGAGGCAGGCGGCAGAACCACUGAGCUACAUCCCCGGCCCUUUAAUGCUUACUUUUAAAAUAAAUGAGAUUCGAUCUUUGCUCUGGGACUUUGCCCCAGGUGCCGUCCCUGGCAGGGCUGCGUCCAGCGAGGCCACACAGACCCGCCACCUUGUGUUCAGCCCUGCUGCGAUGGCUUAACUGAGAAGCUGCACUUGUGUAUGGGACACUGUGUAGACGCUGAAAGCUUUGUUUUCGAAGGACAUUUGAUGACACAAGACUAGAUAAAAACGAAGGCUGUAGAACCAUGUAACUUUAACUGUGUUUCAAGGGGCAGGGUGUUUGCCUACAAGUGUGCACUUAAAGGACUGGACAUUCGGAGAGGGAGGAGCCUCUUAUUUCCAUUUCUUUAAUUUUUAAUUAUUAAUAUUUUGUUUUACAAUUUUACCAUGGACUGUACUGUUUUAGUAAAUAAAGAGUUACAUUAGGAAGUUAGGUGAAAAGCAUAAUAACUACCAUGAAACACACAAAAUACACAGGAGAAAGCAGCAUUAUGAUGAGUAGGAUUUUGAAUGGUAUUUGUAUUCAUUUUAAUAUUUUAAAAAUCGCCUACAACCGCUGGUGGUGGUGGGGCAUACCUGUAAUCCCAGCCACUUGGGAGGCUGAGGCAGGAGAUCACAGGUUAGAGGCCAGCCUGGGAGACUGAGACCUUGUCUCACAAGUUAAAAAAAAAAUGUAAAGGUCUGGGACG
rnacentral:lncRNA from 1 species